UGUGUUACUUUUGCCUUCAGGUGUCUGUCCCUUCAAACAGCAGCUGGUCUGUGAUCCCCACCCACAGAGCCACUUGUUGGUUUGGGUUAAGGUGAAAGUCCCAAACAGAGCAAAGAGCUGAUGUUGAAAUGGCGUCUGUGCAGGAACUGAAGAACCUGAGAUAGGAAAUUCCUUGUUCAAUCUCUCUGGAGUUUUACACGGAUCCAUUGAAUAUAGGUUGCGGCCACAACCUCUGCAGAGACUGUAUUUUAUAGUGUUGGGGCACAGGGCAAGGAAGUGUGUCCUCUCCACAGUGCAGGCAGCAGAUUCUCCAGAGGGGUGUUCGGCCCAACCGAACUCUGUCUAACAUGGUGGAGAGUGUUCAGAAACUGAGCCUGAAUCCGAGGCUGGAAGAGGUGGGAAUCCAGUGUGAAGAGCAUGAGGAGAAGCUGAAACUGUUUUGUGAAAUGGAUCAAAGAGCGAUCUGUGAGCAAAAGCUGCAGGAAGCACUGGAAACUCUUCAUAAACAGUUGGAUGAAAUGACCCAAUGUCAGAGAGAAGAAGGAGCUACUCAACUGGAAGUGGAGAGACAAGCCGAGCGUCUGAGGAAGAACAUCGACGCUGAAUUUGCUCAACGUGACUCGCUGCUGACUGAGGAGCAUCAAGACCUUAUCACCAAACUCAGAGAGCAGGAGGAGGCCAUCUUAGGACAAAUAGAAAACAAUAAGAGUGACAUUUCCAAGCAAAUUACUUCUAUUAACCAGAGAAUAGCGGAAAUCCAGACAAGACUGACUCUACAGAACACCGAAUUCCUGAAGGACAUCAAAUCCAUCAUUGACAGGUCUGGUGUUGACAUCAAGAAACCCACAAAAGUGUCUGUUGAUGUGGCUGAGGGGGAGCUCACUGGGCCUCUGCAGAGCAGAGAGUGGAAACGGUUGUUAAAGGGCAUCACUGCAGCUCCAGCCUCUCUGACUCUGGAUCCAAACACAGCCCAUCCCCGGCUCAUCCUGUCUGAGGACCGGACCCGAGUGAGAUAUGGUGCAGAAAUCAGCAGGUUCCUGACCAUGGAGAGGUUCAGUCACAGGCCCAGUGUCCUGGGAUCUGAGGGGUUCACAUCAGGGAGACAUUACUGGGAGGUGGGGGUGUGGAGCAGCACAUACUGGAUAGUGGGGGUGGCCCGAGAGUCUGUGCCCAGGAAGGAGAGUUUCACACCUGGACCUGAGGCUGGAGUCUGGGCUGUGGAGCUGUACAAUGGGGAAUAUGAAGCUCUUACCUCACCUUCUACCCCCUCUCCCCCUGAGUGUGAGCCCCCGGGUGCUGGGCGUGUACCUGGACUAUGCGGGAGGACAGGUGUCGCUGUACGACGCCGACCACAUGUCUCAUCUCUUCACUUUCACCCACACGUUCACUGGAAAAAUCUUCCCUUACUUCAGCACAUGGCUGGGCACCGACCUGACACUGACCCCUGACAGGGGUGAGGGCGAUCAAUCAGAGAGAGCGUUCGGGGGUUACUGGGCAGAGAGUGGAGGUGACGUAGGAACAUAGAAACAGGAGAAGGCCAUUCAGCCCCUCGAGCCUGUUCGGCCAUUCUAUAAGGUCACGUCUGAUCUGUACAUCAACCCCAGUUACCGGCCUUUGCCCCGUAUCCCUUAACACCCCGACCUGACAAACAUCUCCCCACCUCCGUCCGGACAAUGUGAAUGGAUCCAACCAUAAUCCACAGCCUUUUGGGGUAGAGAGUUCCAGAUUCCCAUUGGCCUUUGGGUGAAAAACUGCCCCUAAUUUCACCCCUAAAUGGCCCGGCUCUAAUAUUAAGAUGAUGCCCCCCUUGUUCUGGAUUCCCCCAACAAGGGACCAAGUUUCUCUCUGUCUACACUAUCGAAUGUCUUUAUUAUUUUAAAAUCCUCAAUUAGAUCACCCCUCGUCCUUCUAAGUUGACGGGAGUAGAGACCAAGUUUAGGUAACCUGCCCUCGUGAUUUAACCCUUUAUUACCCGGGACGUCCUCCUGAUGUGAAAGGCACUAUACACAAAUGUCAUUUUGUUUUGUGUUGUGUUGGUAUCACAAUAAAAUGGACGGAUGUACAAUC